rnacentral:rRNA from 1 species
AAUUGACGGGGAGCACCACGAACGGGUGGAGCUUGUCGGUUUAAUUGGAUUCAACGCCGGAAAUCUUACCGGGACCGACAGCAAUAUGAAGGCCAGGCUGAAGACUUUUGCCGGAUUAGCUGAGAGGUGGUGCAUGGCCGUCGUCAGUUCGUACUGUGAAGCAUCCUGUUAAGUCAGGCAACGAGCGAGACCCACGCCCACAGUUGCCAGCGUACUCUCCGGAGUGACGGGUACACUGUGGGGACCGCCGCUGCUAAAGCGGAGGAAGGAAUGGGCAACGGUAGGUCAGUAUGCCCCGAAUAUCCCGGGCUACACGCGAGCUACAAUGGUUGGUACAAUGGGUAUCUACCCCGAAAGGGGACGGGAAUCUCCUAAAACCAAUCUUAGUUCGGAUUGAGGGCUGCAACUCGCCCUCAUGAAGCUGGAAUCCGUAGUAAUCGCGUUUCAACAGAACGCGGUGAAUACGUCCCUGCUCCUU